AGUGAACGCUGGCGGCGUGCUUAACACAUGCAAGUCGAACGAGAACGGGCUAUAGCUUGCUAUAGUUGUCAGCUAAGUGGCGCACGGGUGAGUAAUGUAUAGGUAAUAUGCCUCUUACUAAGGGAUAACAAAUGGAAACGUUUGCUAAUACCUUAUACUCCUUAUUAACAGAAGUUAAUAAGGGAAAGAUUUAUUGGUAAGAGAUUAGCCUGUAUUGUAUCAGUUAGUUGGUGGGGUAAUGGCUUACCAAGACUAUGACACAUAACUGGUUUGAGAGGAUGAUCAGUCACACUGGAACUGAGACACGGUCCAGACUCCUACGGGAGGCAGCAGUGGGGAAUAUUGCACAAUGGACGGAAGUCUGAUGCAGCAACGCCGUGUGGAGGAUGACACAUUUCGGUGCGUAAACUCCUUUUAUAUGAGAAGAUAAUGACGGUAUUAUAUGAAUAAGCACCGGCUAACUCCGUGCCAGCCGCCGCUGUAA
rnacentral:rRNA from 1 species